GACAUCAGGAGGUUAGUGCAAUGGCAUAAGCCAGCUUGACUGCGAGCGUGACGGCGCGAGCAGGUGCGAAAGCAGGUCAUAGUGAUCCGGUGGUUCUGAAUGGAAGGGCCAUCGCUCAACGGAUAAAAGGUACUCCGGGGAUAACAGGCUGAUACCGCCCAAGAGUUCAUAUCGACGGCGGUGUUUGGCACCUCGAUGUCGGCUCAUCACAUCCUGGGGCUGAAGUAGGUCCCAAGGGUAUGGCUGUUCGCCAUUUAAAGUGGUACGCGAGCUGGGUUUAGAACGUCGUGAGACAGUUCGGUCCCUAUCUGCCGUGGGCGCUGGAGAACUGAGGGGGGCUGCUCCUAGUACGAGAGGACCGGAGUGGACGCAUCACUGGUGUUCGGGUUGUCAUGCCAAUGGCACUGCCCGGUAGCUAAAUGCGGAAGAGAUAAGUGCUGAAAGCAUCUAAGCACGAAACUUGCCCCGAGAUGAGUUCUCCCUGAGACUUAAAGUCUCCUGAAGGAACGUUGAAGACGACGACGUUGAUAGGCCGGGUGUGUAAGCGCAGCGAUGCGUUGAGCUAACCGGUACUAAUGAACCGUGAGGCUUAACCUUA
rnacentral:rRNA from 1 species